CGUGCACGAAACCACACGGCAGCCCUGCGCGGCACAACAUCUCCUGCGAGGCCCGGGGAGCUGCUGGGGAGGAGAGGGAUCGGAUCUGAGGGCUUCUCAAGUUCUGAGCGACCUUCAUUGCCCAAAUAUGGCCCAGCGGCGUCGGGAAGCUUAAAAGGCCGGUGGUGACGGGCCUGUAACUCACAGCAGCUUUGCUGAGUGCGGCACGGAGCCCGUUUCGAUGGGGGAAACGCUGCUUUGCGGCUUCGCAAAGGGGCCAGAAGAGCAUUUAAAGCCCUCCGUGCUUUUGUUUUCACAUCAAGCUGAGGAAACGUAUUGUAAAAGCCCCGCGUUUCGACGGCAUCAAAGCCAUAAUACUCGGGGGGACGUCCUCGGCUUGCGCACGUGGGCAGCAGAUAUCGAAGCAGAGAUCAAACGCCAGGGCUUCCCCUCAGACACCCCGCGAUGGAACUGUUCUCCAAGCAGCACAGAGCUGAUUUCACGCGUGCUGCUCCCGCUUUGCCAUGCAGAAGGAAACGUGCUGCGAAUGAAAGGGCAACCGAAGCCCUCGCAGUGCCUGAGAAGGGUGAUACCCAACAGCCAUAAAGGCACGACAGACGAGGGCUGGGAUCUUUGAGCUUGGAGAAGAGGAGGCCUCAUCGCGGCCUUCCAGGAUUUGAAGGGAGGCUAUGAACAGGAGGUGGUACAUCUGUUUAUCAGGGUGGAUAGUGAUAGGGCAUGGGGGAAUGGUUUUAAACUGGGAUAGGGGAGGUUUGGGUUGGAUAUGAGGAGGCAGUUUUUCACACACACAGGGUGGUGAUGCACUGGAACAGGUUGCCCAAGGAGGCUGUGGAUGCCCCAUGCCUGGAGGCAUUGAAGGCCAGGCUGGAUGUGGCUCUGGUCUGCUGGUUGGAGACCCUGCGCACAGCAGGGGCUUGGAACGAGCUGAUCACUGUAGUCCUUUUCAACCCAGGCCAUUCUGUGAUUCUACGAUCUCUGCACCCUUCGCUGGGCCCUCUCCAGCACUUCCCAGCCCGGGCAGCAGGGCAGGCCGCGGGGCAGCAGGCCGUCUCCAUGGUAACGGCCGCCAUGACACCCCGCCGCGGGCCGCUCUGCUCCGCCGAAGCCGUCUCGAUGGUAGGCGCG
rnacentral:lncRNA from 1 species